rnacentral:rRNA from 1 species
GCCUACGGGGCGCAGCAGUGGGGAAUAUUGGACAACGGGGGAAACCCUGAUCCAGCGACGCCGCGUGAGUGAAGAAGUAUUUCGGUAUGUAAAGCUCUAUCAGCAGGGAAGAAAGAAAUGACGGUACCUGACUAAGAAGCCCCGGCUAACUACGUGCCAGCAGCCGCGGUAAUACGUAGGGGGCAAGCGUUAUCCGGAUUUACUGGGUGUAAAGGGAGCGUGGGCGGAAUGCCAAGUCAGCGGUAAAAUCGCGGGGCUCAACCUCGCUCCGCCGUUGAAACUGGCGUUCUUGAGUGGGCGAGAAG